UACGUAGGAUGCAAGCGUUGUCCGGAAUUAUUGGGCGUAAAGCGAACGUAGGCGGCCUUUUAAGUUUGGUCUUAAAGACCGGGGCUCAACCCCGGGAAUGGACUGAAUACUGGGAGGCUGGAGGACGUCAGAGGAAGGUGGAAUUCCCAGUGUAGCGGUGAAAUGCGUAGAUAUUGGGAGGAACACCAGUGGCGAAAGCGACCUUCUGGGACGUUACUGACGCUGAGGUUCGAAAGCUCGGGGAGCAAACAGG
rnacentral:rRNA from 1 species